rnacentral:misc_RNA from 1 species
AACAAGGCGUACCUGCGGACCUGCGGAGGGAUCAUUACCGAGUUUACAACUCCCAAACCCCUGUGAACAUACCUAUACGUUGCCUCGGCGGAUCAGCCCGCGCCCUGUAAAAAGGGACGGCCCGCCCGAGGACCCUAAACUCUGUUUUUAGUGGAACUUCUGAGUAAAACAAACAAAUAAAUCAAAACUUUUAGCAACGGAUCU